rnacentral:tRNA from 1 species
GGGGGUGUAGCUCAUAUGGUAGAGCGCGCGCUUAGCAUGCGCGAGGUACCGGGAUCGAUACCCGGCACCUCCA